rnacentral:lncRNA from 1 species
GAGAAUUGAUGGAUUCGUAAUAUUAGAUGAGGAAUAGAUAAGAUUAGUGAGCGGUUGUGGAUCAGAAACAUUAUAUCUUUUUAAGGUUCAUACGGUGAAAGAACCACAACAUCAACAUUUGGGAAAGAAAGAAGCCACCCAGAAGGAGAUGAACCCGAAUCCAUCACAGAAAAACUCAUCAUACUUCUCUACACCAGUAGAAUUACAUGGAAUUUAUUUUUAGAAUUAUAUAUUAAAUAAAGUUAAAUUGUGUUCAAAUUCGUCAUUAAUGUCUGCUUCAUAUACCAGCUGUUAGAGUCUAUUGACGGAGUCGCAAUAUUGAAUGAGGAUUAGAUAAGGUCACUGAGUGGUUGUGGAUCAGAACCAUUAUAUCUUUUCAGGUUCAUAUGGACAACCAACUACAACAUCAACAUCUCGAAUCGAAAAGAAAGAAGCCACUCAGAAGGAGAUGAACCCGAAUCCAUCACAGCAAAACUCAUCAUGCUUCUCUUCACAAGGAGAAUCACACAUGGUAUUUAUUUUUAGAAUUAUAUAUUAAAUAAAGUUAAAUUAUGUUCAAAUUCGCCAUUAAUGUCUGCUUCACAUACUGAUAAAGAAUAUUGACGAAGUCACAAUAUUAAAUGAGGAUUAGAUAAGGUUAGUGAGUGUUGUGGAUCAGAAACAUUAUAUCUUUUUCAGGUUCAUAUAUGGAGAAAGAACCACCACAUCAACAUCUCGAAUUGGAAAGAAAAAGAAGCCACCCAGAAGGAGCUCAACCCGAAUCCACCACACCAAAACUCAUCAUGCUUCUCUACCCAAGGAGAACCACACAUGGGUAACUUAAUUUUAUACCUUGGUUAACUUUGUUCACUUUUUAUUUUAUAAAAAAUAAUUAUAUUUCUUAGAAGUUUAAUCGUUCCCAGAUUCUGUUUGAGUUGAGAAUCUCAAACAGGUUUCUUAAUUUUGAAAAAUUACUCCAAUUAAACUUGCUGUUAAAUGAGGUCAAUAGUGUUAGACAGACAUUGAUAUGUUGAUAUUAUUGUUUUAAAUGAUGUGGCUUAUGUUAUUUAUUAUAGGUGAUUCUAACGUUUAUUUUCUAAAUUAAAGAAACUGAAAAAUUAAAAAAAAAAUUGGAAAAAGUUAGUUUAGGGUUCAUUCACAAAAAAUCAAUUGAGAAAUUAAGGUUCAUUCGAAUUUUGGAAAAUCAGGGUUUAUUUGAAGUUACUUCCAUAGAACUUGCCUAACCUUGUUGAGGUAUCGAAAGCACAACACACAUCUUCUGCAAGAGAGCCAGAUCAAAGACUUAAUCGCCAGGAGGUUUUUUGUGCGACUGGGAUUUCACUCAUAGAAGUGAAUCAAUUGACCAAAACAAGGGAUAUGGAUGUUCGUCUUUCACAUCUGGCCUUGAUUAGAGAAGUGGCCCAAUUAAAUAAUGCAUGAAUAUAUUUGGUACAAGAAGAUAUGGUAUUUGAUGGUCGAUCCUCCGAGGAGUCCUAUCAAAAAACUUAUUAAUUGUUUCACAAACUUACCAAAUCGUUCAAGUAAUAAAAUCAUGAUAAAAUCAUGUGUCGUUUUCCUAAGAGACUCGUGUAAUACUAAAUAAUCAUACAAUUAGUAAAUCAUCUAGACUAAAGAAUAGUUCAUGAAUUUACAACAAUAUACAAGUAAAUAAAGAUGUAUAAAAAGGGGUGGACUUUGGUAAUUGGAGACACUGAAAAGUGGAAAAAGGGUAGAAAUGAUAUGGAAUGGCAAUGUUAGGGGUAGAUUUAACCGGCUUCAUGCUUUUGCACAUGCGGAAUCAUCUCAACUCCAUCAAAUUCUAAUGUCAACCCUCUAAAACACUCAAACCUUAAUCCCUUAGGUGAGAGAGCCUAAGUUUUCUUACUAAGCGUCAAUCCCUUGAUCAUUCAACAAGCGGACCCACAUUACGACCUAAGAUUUUAGACAACUAAUGGGUCAUGUUCCAUCCAUAGACACAAAUCCCUUCUAGAUCUCUUAUUUCAAGCCUAGGAUUCAUUAGAUUUUUCCUAACACCUAAGGAAACUGUAAAUCAAGCUAAGAACGUCCCUAUUCCCGCAAGCAUUAAGAGUAAAAACAAGAAAAUAACAUUUAAAUGAAGAUGCAUAUAUAUAAUCAAAGCAUUUAUAAGGUACAAGAUGUUGACAACACAAUAUCUAUAUCACUCUUUUUUUUAUGAUGACAACACAUUUUUAAUAGCACACAUAUGUUGUUGUUGUGUUACAUGUUCUUAUGCUGAUUGAUUGAUAUAUUGUUGAACAUGUUUUUCUGUUUUACUACUAUGUGAAUGCAUUCUUAUUGAACUUGUGCAUGUUACAUCAUAUCUGAUUGCAUUACACAUGUUUGAAAGGAUGAAAACCACAUGCACUUUUGUGAACUUAUAACUGUGUGACAAAGCUGCAGUAAAGUCGACUCCAUUACUAAUUGAAUUGACUAUGCUAAAGUCUUUGUACAGAUUUUGAGAAAUAGUGCUAUGUGAGAUUUUGUGAAGGAAAGAAUUUCAAAAUGCUUUGACAUGUCGAAGUCAACUGUGUGCACCACACAUUUGACUAUAUUAGUUGUUUGCUUUGAAAUUUUGUUAUGCUCAUGAACAGUAACGACUGUAUUUUCAAAAGUUAGUUGAGCAUUGAUUGAGAGUCAACUAUAUUGAAUGAGAAUUUAUUUGGUUUGACUGAAUGCUACCGGUCUGACUUAUCUGUUAUAACUGUUUUAACAUAGUCGAUUGGAUUAGUAGCAUAUUCGACUAAGGGAGCCUCUGAUUAACAAAAUUCUAUAAAUAGACAGAACAAUUGUUCUGAGACUUUUGGACAUAUUUUGAUCUAACACUUUCAUAUUCUGUUUCAGAUUGUUCCUUUGGAUUUAUAGAGCUCCAAGAACUCUUCAAGAAGACGGUGGUGAUCUUUCUUGAAGGAGAUUCAAAGGGAGACUGACUGCGUGCUCAUUGCUUGAUCACAUAUCUGCACAUUGAGGUGUCUUUAGGUUUAUCAAGAUUCAUAUUGGCAUCCGUGGUGAUUGCUGUUGGUACCUGUUGUGAUUAUAGGGGAUAGACUCGUGGAGUCUUGUUUACUUUGAGGACUGUUCAAAAUGGUUUUGCAGAUUGCAGGAGAGGGAACAUCUUGCUGCAAGUUUUGCUAGGUUGUUUUGGCUAUAUUUUGGUUAGAGGGUUAGAGAGGAGAUUUAUAUUUUUGACGUGGAGGUCUUCUAUAAAUUCUUUGUUGUAAAAACAUUGAUCAUUAUAGUGCAAUUGCUUCCUGGUAUUAGAAGGACACUGGAUGUAGGCAUUGAGGCCGAACCAGUAUAAAAACCAGUGUUUGAAUUUCUCUAUUUCUGAACUUUUACUUAUAAUCAACUUUACUUUCUGCGCAGUCAUCUAC